rnacentral:rRNA from 1 species
UACGGGGGGAGCAAGCGUUGUUCGGAUUUAUUGGGCGUAAAGAGCGCGCAGGCGGUCGUUCAAGUCGCGUGUGAAAGCCCCCGGCUCAACUGGGGAGGGUCACGCGAUACUGAUCGACUCGAAGGCAGGAGAGGGUAGUGGAAUUCCCGGUGUAGUGGUGAAAUGCGUAGAUAUCGGGAGGAACACCAGUGGCGAAGGCGACUACCUGGCCUGUUCUUGACGCUGAGGCGCGAAAGCGUGGGGAGCAAACAGG